rnacentral:lncRNA from 1 species
AGAAUAUGAGAUACACAUCUUGGUGAAAUCUUUGGUUACUCAAAAUAUCAUAUUCUGAAUAUGAUUCCUUGAUCUUUCAAGUUGCAUUGAAUUUCAAGUCAAUAGUUUAUUUUUCUAGGUAGAUCAAAAGUAUUUUGAUAUUGUUGUUAAAUUAAAGAAGAAAAUUUAUUUUGUCAAAAUAUGAUAUACAGGUUAUGAUGAAAUCCUUAAUAAUUCGUAUUACUAUCUUUGGAUUAGAUUUUUUUUUUUUUAAUUUUUUUCUUGUGAUUAUUGAAGAUGGUGAAGUGUAUUAAUUAUUCAAGUCAAAGUUUAGAUAUUUUUUUAAAUUGAACUAAGACAUCUUGCUAGUGUUAAAUUUUGAAUGACUUAUACAAGGGAC